GUGCUGUUUGGCAGGACAUGGAGCACAUUUGCUGAAAUUGGAACCAAAGAAGAUUAGCACGGCUCCUGUACAAGAUGAUAUGCAAAUCUGUGAAGCGUUCCAUAUUUAA